CCCAUUUCUCAGACAGAUACUUGACUGUUGCUUUCUUCUUUCCGCUGUAGGGCCCGAUGACGAUGCUGGCCUGGCGGGGGACUUGGCUGACCCGGCCUCCGCACAGGUGGACUAGUUCACAGAGCUUGGCCACUGGGGGGCUGCUGGCAGGCGAGACAAACAUCACUGGCUGGUCGGCAAAGAGGGUUCCGCGGUACGGCCCUGCAGACAAGUGGCACUCACUUCGGCACAGCUGUGGGGCAGACAGAGACAGAAUUACAGAGGUGGGACCACUCCAGUCUCCAUAGCGUAGGCGAACUGUUGCAGUUUACUUCCUUUUUUAUGAAAAGAAUAGACUGAAUGUAAGGCUGCCAUGCUCCUGUGAAUUUUGAAUUCUGAGAAUCCAGAGAAGAUGAUGACAUUAAUGACAUAAAACUGACAUUUUCUGAAGUAGCCAUGCGUAAAACUCCAAGGAAACAAAUUAGAAAAAAAAAAGUGUAGGCCUUUGAAUUAUUCCAAAGCCUCAAACAAAAUAUUGAAAAGCAACUGUUAGCACAGCAGAGCCAUAGCUAGGCUGAACUCUCACUGAAGUAACUUGGUGACGUGUGCAAGUGACGGCAAGAUUCUAAUGCACUGCAAAUGCCGGCUGUGCUGGGAGAGCGUCAUUCAAUCCAGCGCGCUCCAGGCUCUUGGCAGAAAAGGACUUUUAUAGGAUCAUAAUAAAUACCGAGCCUCAGCAGCUUUCAUGUGCCUUGCAGGAGACAGUGGCAGCAGGGGCAAAUGAUUCUUCCUGGAUGGUGACUUUGUGAGUACUUUUGGCAAUAUAUCCUGCGAGAUAGGCAGUAGAAAGGGCUAUUGAUUUAAUUUGCAGACAAAGAGACUGAGCUGAUGCAAGGCAAGAGAUUUGCUUUGGCAAAUGGUGAGUCACACUGCAAGAAAAAGCCAUGGUUCCUAGCAUCACGGGGCCAAGCUGCAUGGAAAUGGAAUCAAGAAAGAGCAUCUUUCAUUUUAAAGUAGGACACAUACAUUCAAAAAGUUAAUUAUGAAAGUAUUUGGCCUGGCGCGG
rnacentral:lncRNA from 1 species